rnacentral:tRNA from 1 species
GCUCUGGUAGCUUACACCCUUAAAGCCUUGUUCUUGUAAACCAAAGACGGACUACUCCCCUGAGCA